UUUAAAUUCCGCUUUUUUCCCUUCCCUUCCCUUGUCAUCUUUCUCCUCUCCACAGUCCACACCACCCCUGCUUCUAUCUAUCUAUCUUUCUUUUUCUUCUUCCUUUGUUCCCUGCUUUUGGCCACUGCACCAUCUCUUCCUUUACCCACUGCUUCCAUCAUCACCGUACCGUCAAGAAGAAAUAGAGAACAGGCAAGCGCUACGGUAUGCUUAUCCUAUUUAUGUCCCUCCACCGUUUAUCUUUUAUCUUCUACCUCCCGUCUUCACCGUCUUAUUUUGUUUCCUACUUCAAACUUUGAUGAAACCAAACUCAUAAGCCUUCCACACACGUGCUUUCUAGUAAUUUUUGGGCGGUUUGGCCUAUGGGGGCAAGCUGAAUGGGGGUGUCAUCAAUGCCUUAAAUGACUUUAGUUUCUUCUUCUUCUUCUUUCUCACCUAUCAGAAAUACAAAAAAUUAGAAGAUGGAUUUUCUUUAAUUUGUUUUUUAAAGCAAAGGAAUGAAUCCAUGAAGUGAUAGGAUAUAAAUAGGCUAAGUUGUUUGGUAAGAAUCACAUUCCUCUUUCUUCUUUCUUUGUCACUUAGUGUGUUAAAAUGAAGUUGCAAUCAAAACUUAAUAGUUCAGAAGGGUGAAAUACAAACAAUUUUUUAAUGGAAGGAAAUAGGUUAAUUAAUUAUGGUAAAUAUUUGUCAUAUUUGCAGCAAAGAAAGCUAGAAUUUGAGAAUAAGAACCAUAAUGAUGCAUUAAUGCAUCCUCUGUUUAAAUAUCAGAUUGUAUACAAAAUUAAUUCUACCCAAAUGUUGCGUAGAAAAUUUUGUCAAAAUAUUUGUCUCUUGUUGCUUAGCUAAAACUCUAAACACUGUUUGGGAACUCUUUCUUCUUAACCUUUGGGUGCACAAAUGUUGCUUAGGGAUAUUGUUUUGCGAAGGUGACAGUGGAAGAGCUCUUAGUCCCAUGGUUGCUUUGUUUAUAGCAGAAGGUCUCUUCCUCCACUAUUUUUUUUACAUAGGUCUCAUCCUCUACUAGGCUUUGCGAGCUAGCCUCUUAUACACACACAAAGAUAUAGAAGCAUAAUUUUAACUUGGUGAAUUUGGUGGCUUGAGCUUGAAUACGUGGCCAUUUCCCAAACUAUUAAAAUUGUGAGGAUCGAUAGGUUUUGCCUUUUUGGUCAAAUAUACAACUAUAACAGUUUUUUUUUGCAUAAAAUCAUAUUUUGAAUAAUAUAUAUAUAUAUAUAUAUAUACAAAAUGUAGAAAGGGAAACUAUAGGAUAAGCAUACGGUAGCAGUGGGUAAAGGAAAAGAUAGUGUGGUUGCUAGGGAGCAAAGGAAAAAGAAGAAAGAAUGAUGGAACACGUGGUAUGUUAGGAUUAAUGAUGGAACACGUGGUAUGUUAGGAUUCAUAUCAUACGCUUAGUUCGUUUCAUCAUUGCUUAUCAAAAUACAUAGGUAAAUGUUGACAUUACAAUCCUAAGUUUGUAUUAUAUGACUAAAUAUAACGUGGGAAAACAACUUACGUUAGCAAUUAAUAUAAAUGUUUGUAGUACAUGAGGUUAAAUUGAACAAAUUCAUGUUAAAGCCUGUGAUCUUAAGUCCAAUUAGAGAGAUAGAUUGUAUUAACUAUUCGAGUUUGAUUAACUUCUAGAAAUAAAGACAUAUAUAUAUAUAUAUAUAUAUAAGAUUGUUUGGACUGAUAAUGUAUAAAAAAAAUUAUCUUAAAUUUGUGUAAGUGAAUGAAUAUGUGUGUAACUCAUGUAUUUUAAUACGUUAAAAAAAUGUGCUCCCAAGGUUGUGAGCCAGAAGGUGAUAUGUUAGGUACAUAAUUGUUAGCCCUAGUUUUUCAAAUGUUUUGAUAUAAUAAAAUAAAACUUUAAACUCUUACUCAGUUAAAUUUGUAAUCGGUUGAUAUAGGCCCUUAAAAUUAUUUUCAAAGUGUUUAGAAACUCAGAUUUGUAAAAUGUCUUUGAAAGAUAUUGGUUCAUGACCAAUUUUACCUUAUUGAGACACUUCGACCAACACAAGUGGAUACUUGUAUUGAUAAAAGUAAGUUAGAAAGCAUCUCGAGCAUUCCUUCGAACUUCUACCAAUACUUGAAGGUUCUUCUCUUGGUACACAUGCAAUUGUAUCGAUACUUAGGAGGAGUUUUAUCGAUAGAAGUAAGUUAGAGAACACCCCAAACCACCCAUCAAACUUUACCGGUACUUAAAAGGGUCUUUUACCAAUACAAGUAAGCCAAUAAGCAUUUUUGGGUUCCCCUGCGCCUUCUACUAAUACAAGUAUUGGUACAAGUUUGAGCCCUUGAAACCCUCAGACUUCUACUAAUACAAGUGGUCUUCUGCCAAUACAUCGAACUCCAACAGUCACAUUUUUUAAGACUUCUAUAUCGACACAAAUCCACUUGUACCAAAAUAAGCAAUUUGCAACCUACAAUUAAUGCUUAAAUUUAAUGUUGCAACAACUCUAAUUUACUCCCAACGUCCCCAAGGUUGUUAGAAGGCAUAAAUACAAGUCAAUAGCUCCAUAUUAAAGAUAAGAAACAAGUUUGCCAGGUCAAUUAUACAAAAAUCUAAUAUAUUCAUCGAUAUUCUCUUUGUUCUUUAUACACACUCGGGUAACCAGAUCUCUUUUAUUAUUUUCAAGUGUUGUACUGUUAUUGAGUGAGCUUUAUCAUUGUAAUAUCUUCCUUGAGAGGUGUCUUUAAUCAUUGUUAUUAUUUAUCAUAUUUGUAAGGGGUUGCUUAAGGUUACACACACUUGGGUAACCAUCUCUUUUAUUCUUUUCAAUUGUUGUAUUGUCAUUGAGCGAGCUUUAUCAUUGUAAUAUCUUCCUUGAGAGAUGUCUUCAAUCAUUGUUAUUAUUUAUCAUAUUUGUAAGGGUUUGCUUAAGGUUUUUGAGUAGAAACCAUAAGGGAAAUGACUCUAUCUUGCCC
rnacentral:lncRNA from 1 species